AACGCGAAGAACCUUACCUGGGUUAGAAAACGCGCGAACCUGGUAGAAAUAUCGGAGUGCUCUUCGGAGAACGCGUGGUUAGGUGCUGCAUGGCUGUCGUCAGCUCGUGUCGUGAGAUGUUGGGUUAAGUCCCGCAACGAGCGCAACCCUUAUCGUUAGUUGCCAGCGAGUCAAGUCGGGCACUCUAGCGAAACCGCCUCGGAUAACGGGGAGGAAGGUGGGGAUGACGUCAAGUCCUCAUGGCCUUUAUGUCCAGGGCUACACACGUGCUACAAUGGCCGGUACAAACCGUCGCAAACUCGCGAGAGGGAGCUAAUCGGAAAAAGCCGGCCUCAGUUCGGAUUGGAGUCUGCAACUCGACUCCAUGAAGCUGGAAUCGCUAGUAAUCGCGGAUCAGCACGCCGCGGUGAAUACGUUCCCGGGCCUUGUACACACCGUAGUAC
rnacentral:rRNA from 1 species